rfam:Candidatus Entotheonella sp. TSY2 genomic scaffold TSY2_scaffold01078, whole genome shotgun sequence.
GGUCAAGUAAGUAAGAGCAUACGGUGGAUGCCUAGGUACGCAGAGGCGAUGAAGGACGUGGUUAACUGCGAUAAGCCUCGGGGAGCGGUAAGCACGCGUUGAUCCGGGGAUGUCCGAAUGGGGAAACCCACUAGGGGUCAUGCCCUAGUAGUCCUGUCCGAAUCCAUAGGGCAGGGCGGCUAACGAGGGGAACUGAAACAUCUUAUUACCCUCAGGAAGAGAAAGCAAUCGCGAUCCCCUCAGUAGCGGCGAGCGAACCGGGAAGAGCCUAAACCGCAUGGCUGGAAGCCUGCCAGCGUUGGCUGUGCGGGGUUGUGGGGCACGAUUGGGGAAGGUGGCAGCCAUCCCGAGGUGAUGUGCAGGGCAUAGGCGAAUGUAUUGGAACAUACGUCCGUAGAGGGUGACAGACCCGUAGCCGAAAUGCGUUGUCAGCCUUGAAUCGUGUACCCGAGUACCGCGGGACUCGUGGAAACCUGUGGGAAGCCGGGAGGCCCACCUCCCAAGGCUAAAUACUCCUGCGUGACCGAUAGUGGACUAGUACCGUGAGGGAAAGGUGAAAAGCACGCCCGUUAGGCGAGUGAAAUAGACCCUGAAACCGUGUGCUUACAAGCGGUGGGAGCUCGGGUGAAGGCUUAGGCCUUCAGCGAGUGACCGCGUGCCUUUUGCAUAAUGAGCCAACGAGUGAUGUUAACGCGCAAGGUUAAGCCGGUAGGCGAAGCCGAAGCGAAAGCGAGUCUGAAGAGGGCGUCAAGUGCGUUGAUGUUGACCCGAAGCCAGGUGAGCUACCCAUGGCCAGGGUAAAGCGACCCUAACAGAUCGUGGAGGCCCGAACCGACUAAGAUUGAAAACUUGGCGGAUGAGCUGUGGGUAGGGGUGAAAGGCCAAGCAAACCUGGAGGUAGCUGGUUCUCCCCGAAAUCUAUUUAGGUAGAGCCUUGCAGUGGCGUGCCGGCGGUAGAGCACUGACUGGAGUAGGGGCCCCACCAGGUUACCGAAUCCAAUCAAACUCCGAAUGCCGGUAACGACAGCUGCAGGAGUCAGACUACGGGAGAUAAGUUCCGUGGUCGAAAGGGAAACAGCCCAGACCGUCCGAUAAGGUCCCAGAAUCGCUGCUCAGUGGGAAAGGUGGUCAUAAUGCCCAGACAGCCAGGAGGUUGGCUUAGAAGCAGCCAUCCUUUAAAGAAAGCGUAAUAGCUCACUGGUCGAGUGGUAUGGCGCCGAAAAUGUCCGGGACUCAAGUAGCGUACCGAAGCGGCGGCUGUCUGUCCGCAGACAGGGUAGGGGAGCAUUCUUAGGGGGUAGAAGCUAUACCGUGAGGCGUGGUGGACCGCUAAGAAGAGAGAAUGUUGGCAUGAGUAACGCUAAAGGGGGUGAGAGUCCCCUUCGCCGAAAACCCAAGGGUUCCUGGGCAAGGUGAUCCUCCCAGGGUGAGUCGGCCCCUAAGCCGAGGCCGAAAGGCGUAGGCGAUGGACAACGGGUUAAUAUUCCUGUACUUCUUUACUCGCGUUUGAGCGAUGGGGGGACGCAGAGGGGUAGUCCGGCCGGCGGUUGGAUGUGCCGGUGCAAGCCAGUAGGCGGGAGUGGCAGGCAAAUCCGCUGCUCUGUUAACGCUGAGAGGUGAUGACGAGGCUUUGAGCCUGUAAGC